CCUACGGGUGGCUGCAGUGGGGAAUAUUGGACAAUGGGCGAAAGCCUGAUCCAGCCAUGCCGCGUGUGUGAAGAAGGCCUUCGGGUUGUAAAGCACUUUCAGUGGGGAAGAAAGCCUUGGGGCUAAUACCCUCGAGGAAGGACAUCACCCACAGAAGAAGCACCGGCUAACUCCGUGCCAGCAGCCGCGGUAAUACGGAGGGUGCGAGCGUUAAUCGGAAUUACUGGGCGUAAAGCGCGCGUAGGCGGUCUGAUAAGCCGGUUGUGAAAGCCCCGGGCUCAACCUGGGAACGGCAUCCGGAACUGUCAGGCUAGAGUGCAGGAGAGGAAGGUAGAAUUCCCGGUGUAGCGGUGAAAUGCGUAGAGAUCGGGAGGAAUACCAGUGGCGAAGGCGGCCUUCUGGACUGACACUGACGCUGAGGUGCGAAAGCGUGGGUAACAAACAGGAUUAGAUACCCCUGUAGUC
rnacentral:rRNA from 1 species